rnacentral:hammerhead_ribozyme from 1 species
CGGUGCUGAGGAGUCCCAAAUAGGACGAAACGGCCAUCCAGUGC